ensembl:lncRNA
AUGGUGCCAAUAUUUAUUGCUGGGGGAGUGGAGGAAAUGACAAUUCCACAAACCAUAACCCCUGUGAUAGAAAAAGAAAUAAGGAAAAGAAUCAACAUCUCCGUGCCUCUGGCUCAGUAUUGCACUUGAUGUGCAGGUCCACUCCUAUACCGAUGAAGCAUUUAAGCAGAGCAGUAUAAACAUAUGCUUAUAUUUCGCUAGCAGGAAAUUUAAAUCAACAUUUAUCUCCAUAAAGCCAGUCCUCAAAGAAUGAAUCAGGGACCAAAUCGGUAUUGUAAUUGAACUAAAAUAAUCCUAAGCUUCCUCUAAAAGCACAUAGCUUUAACCUGUCACGUCGAAUGAGAAUUAUACACUUAAACUAUAAUCUUCCUGUUCCCUUAGUCAUCAGAGCCCAGAUCAAAGUGAAAGAGGAAAAAAGCACAGAUGCUGCUCGGUUGUGAAGGAGGAGGUGGGGCACACAGGGAGGUAAGCUGUGUUUGGAAAUGGAGUAUUUCUGCUGCCCAAAUCAGAUUCACCUGAGUGCAGCUCAUAGCUGGACACUGGGGCUCGAAGAACUUGCCUUGAUAUCAUCACCUCCUGCAACAGGUGCUGCAAGUUGCAAGUGGCCCUCAUAACAGCGUAUAUUGCCAUGUGGGAAAUCACUGGGGUGUAAGGCAGGCAGAGAGGAGGCUGAGCUGCAGUCGCUCACCAAAAUGCUGUUGUUUGGGGUGGGGUUAGGUUUGCUGUGCUUUGCUGUGGCGCUGGGUUCUUUUAAUAUUAUUAAUAAUGUGAAUAGGAGCUACGUCCCUGGGCUAUGCUGACAAGGCAGCUGCAGGCAGAAGAGCUAUGUCCUUGAGCUGUGCUGAUAAGAGCUGCAGGUGAGGGAUCUGUAGGCAGCACGCCUGGGGUAGGUGCUGGGCAUCACAGUGGUGUUAACACCCAGUUGCACUGGGAGCGUCAGGGCUGUCCACAAAAAAUUAUGUCCACCUGUCUUGUAGAAGCUUCCAGCAUUUCAUUGCAUUGAAUCUACAUGCAAAUCUGUUUCAGUCAGGAGGAAGAAUUUUGUUGCAAUUUUCGGGUCAACGUUUGUGUUGUAAAGACAUUAAGAGCUGUCACCUCGUGUGAGGAACGGUAGUACCAAUAUAACCUAUUUUUAUAGUGUUAAAAUGAUUCUUAGGUCCCAUUUCCAGUUUUGCAGGUUACCGGUGGGCAUGGUUGCUCCUGUGGUGGCACAGAAUGAAGGUGGGGACAGUGAUGGAGUUGGAGAGCUAUAACUGUGUGCUCCCUUGGCAGGACUGGGGUCAGCAUUGCAGAAGCCGCACUAUUAAUCCACUGGAGAUCGAUGAAAACCAACAUUUUUUUUUCAUAGAAUCCACAGAAUUCAUAGAAUGGUUUGGGUUGGAAGAGUCCCUUCCAACCCAAAUCGUUCUAUGGUUCUGUGAUCCUAUGACUCAUUAGCCAUAAGGUCUUGGGCUGUGUUUCUCUUCUUCCCUUCUGGGCUUUUCCAGAGACACAUCCAGGGGUGCCACACAGCUCCAGGAUACUGCAACCCUCUGUGCCCCGUGAUGAGCCCUUCUUCAGAGCUGACUCACAGCAGGCUGAGCACCACUUUACAACAGUGGCGAUAAUCAAACCACAUGCUCCAGGUCUUUGGCUCCAGGUCAGGAAUAAGGAAAUAGUUUUUUUUACGACUCCUCACAGCAUGAUUGAUGGGAAGUACAUGGACUAGCACGUACUUUGCUUGUAGACUUUGAUUUUCCUUUGGAAAGGAAAGUCCUAGGCACGUCACCUGACCUGGGACACAUGUAGGGGGUUUGCUUUUGUUCUGCACCAGAAGUUAUGGCUCAGUCAUGUGAUGGACUUCCGUGCACCCACCACCCAUCUUUGGUCUCAUCCUUGCCAGGGAGGAAUUCCCUUCUGUCACAGUCUUGCAGGCAUCCAGGAGGUCAUCGGAAUGCAGAUCCCUGCAGGAUAUGAGCCCCUGAGUAGCAUUAUCAGGAGGCAGGCUCAGGCAUAUCGACAGUGCACAGGAAGCACAGAGUGAAUGGCACAGUGGGGCUCCUCUCCUUGAAGAGGUGCUGGCAGAUACCUUCCAUGUAGCAGCCCAGCAGUUACAGAGCAGCCUCAGAAGCAGAAAUCAAAAUGCCACGUCUCUGGGAUCAGCUCCAUCCCACAUAUGUCAACUCCUCCUUUUGUCUUGAAGAAAAGGUGAUCAGUAAACGCCAAAAAGCAUUAUCCCAAAGGAAGCACCAAACAUUUGUUCAGUGAGUGCAACCGUACACUGUCCCAUUGGCUUUGUC